rnacentral:rRNA from 1 species
UACGGAGGGUGCAAGCGUUGUCCGGAAUCACUGGGCGUAAAGGGCGCGUAGGCGGCUCAUGAAGGCUGUGGUGAAAGUCCGGGGCUCAACCUCGGAUCGGCCGUGGCGACUCGUGGGCUGGAGCACUGUAGAGGAGACUGGAAUUCCCGGUGUAGCGGUGAAAUGUGUAGAGAUCGGGAGGAACACCGGUGGCGAAGGCGGGUCUCUGGGCAAUUCCUGACGCUGAGGCGCGAAAGCGUGGGGAGCAAACGGG